rnacentral:rRNA from 1 species
UACGUAGGGGGCGAGCGUUGUCCGAAGUUACUGGGCGUAAAGAGCGCGUAGGCGGGCUUCUAAGUGAGAGGUGAAAGGUUCGGGCUCAACCCGGAGAGUGCCUUUCAUACUGGGAGCCUUGAGUGCGGGAGAGGCAAGUGGAAUGGUCGGUGUAGCGGUGAAAUGCGUAGAUAUCGUAAGGAAGACCAGUGGCGAAGGCGGGUCUCUGGACAGUUCCUGACACUGAGGCACGAAGGCCAGGGGAGCAAACGGG